rnacentral:rRNA from 1 species
UACGAACCGUCCUAACGUUAUUCGGAAUCACUGGGCUUAAAGGGUGCGUAGGCGGCCCGGAAAGUUGGGUGUGAAAUCCCUCGGCUUAACCGAGGAAUUGCGCCCAAAACUACCGGGCUUGAGGGAGACAGAGGUGAGCGGAACUUAGGGUGGAGCGGUGAAAUGCGUUGAUAUCCUAAGGAACACCGGUGGCGAAAGCGGCUCACUGGGUCUUUUCUGACGCUGAGGCACGAAAGCUAGGGGAGCGAAC